rnacentral:rRNA from 1 species
UACGUAGGGGGCUAGCGUUGUCCGGAAUCAUUGGGCGUAAAGAGCGUGUAGGCGGCCCGGUAAGUCCGCUGUGAAAGUCGGGGGCUCAACCCUCGAAUGCCGGUGGAUACUGUCGGGCUAGAGUGCGGAAGAGGCGAGUGGAAUUCCUGGGUGAUAGCGGGUGAAAUGCGCAGAUAUCGAGAGGAACACCUGCGGCGAAGGCGGGUGCUGGGCUGACACUGACGCUGGAUGACGCGAAAGCCUAGGGGAGCAAACGGG